CACAAACUUUGCAACUCACUUCACUGAGAAGAUUUCUACAAUCAUGGAAUAGAGCUCUCAUCUCUCUCCUUCCCCUACCAAUACUUCCCCCCACUCCAUCCGCUGUAUUAUAGUCAUUCGCACCUGCUACAACAGAAGAGGUUUCUGUUCUGCUCCAUUCUCCUGCCCCACCACCUAUUCCCUCAAUCCUGUUACUUCAUACCUUAUCAG